rnacentral:lncRNA from 1 species
CUCAUACUCAGCAUGAUGAAAGUGAAACUUAAUUUUUUCCUUCUUUCCUCCUCUAUUUUCUGACACUGUCAUCCACUUUAGCGUCUGCUCUUUUAGAGCUUGGUCUAGUGUCACUGAAGUUAAUAGGAGAUUUUCCAUUCCCAUUGUAUGAGAGCAGGAGCAGGCCAUUACCAGGGCUCAUAACCUUCUUGCCACGUUCAGCUAUUUCCUCUUUGUUCCUGCUCCUUCUAUCAAGGUCAUUGCUGAACACUUUUUAUUCUUCCCCUGCGCUAUCUACAGAAACCAUUUCUUAUACAGAAACUUUACUCCACAUUCUGUGAUCUCAGGUGUUGACUGCAGUGACCUCCACAUUUCUAGCCUUCCUGGUUAUCGUAGCGUAAUUUAGGUUAGAAGGGACCUCUGGAGGUCACCUUGUCCAAAACCCUGCUGAAAGCAAGGCCAACAGAAAUCAAGUUGCUGAGGGCCUUCUCCAGUCAGCCAUUAAAAAUCUCUGCAACCUCUCUGGACACCUGUUCCACUUUUCGACUACUUUCAUGAAACAUAUUUCUGGAGUCUACUCAGAAUUUUCCUUGUUCAAACUUCUGUCUGUUGCUGCUCAUCCUUUCACUGUGUGCCUACGUGAACAGUCUGGCUCCAUCUUUUUAUGUCAUUAUCACACAGCCACUAUUUCUCAGGCUUUCCAACUAAACUCCUCCAACCUGCCGGCAUUCCAUGUCAGUACUGGGAAUGUCGAUCCCUUUCUGAAGUACGUGCUGAGUCUCUGCUGGCUACAUCUCCCUGUCCCCAAGGUGACAAGCCGGGGAGUCACCCAGAGCCAGCAUCUACCGCGUCCUGCGUCCCACAGGUCCCCGUGGGUGCUGGAGGUAGCUGAGGGGAUUUGCACAGUCCAAGGGCUCCAGACCUUGUUUAGCAGUGAUCCCGUGGCCAACUCGCCCAGGCGGUGCUGCCCAGCGGGGCUGCUGCUAGGGCAGACCGCGCAGCGCGCCGUCGGCCGCCGGGCACCCAGAUCCGUGCUGGGAGGCGGCGCAGGCUCCGGGCUGGCUCCACAGGCCAGCUCCUCUGUCCGCCGACGGCCAGCUUGUGAGCGCAGGAUGGGACCCAGUGCGGCUGCACCCGUCUCUGUCCCAGGCUGCGUCAGGCCGGUUCCCGCUCCUGGGCCAGGCCUGCUUCACGCUGCCGGCCGGCGGGCGCUGCUGGGCCUCCUGCUGCCGCCGUGCCUUGUGCCUCGCACACCCCAGCCCGCCCGCCUGCCCCGCGCUCUCGCACAAGGCCUCGUCGCUCCUGUCAGGCUGCCCUCCCCAAGGUCGCCGGCCUCGUGGCGGAGGCUGCCCUCAGCAAGCACCGCCAGCCAUCUCCCACCAGCAGCCCUGUGA